rnacentral:rRNA from 1 species
AUUGAACGCUGGCGGCAUGCCUUACACAUGCAAGUCGAACGGUAACAGGUCUUCGGAUGCUGACGAGUGGCGAACGGGUGAGUAAUACAUCGGAACGUGCCUAGUAGUGGGGGAUAACUACUCGAAAGAGUGGCUAAUACCGCAUGAGAUCUACGGAUGAAAGCAGGGGAUCGCAAGACCUUGUGCUACUAGAGCGGCCGAUGGCAGAUUAGGUAGUUGGUGGGAUAAAAGCUUACAAAGCCGACGAUCUGUAGCUGGUCUGAGAGGACGAUCAGCCACACUGGGAAUGAGACGCGGCCCGUACUCCUACGGGAGGCAGCAGUGGGGAAUUUUGGACAAUGGGCGCAAGCCUGAGCCAGCAAUGCCGCGUGCAGGAUGAAGGCCUUCGGGUUGUAAACUGCUUUUGUACGGAACGAAAAGCCCUGGGUUAAUACCCUGGGGUCAUGACGGUACCGUAAGAAUAAGCACCGGCUAACUACGUGCCAGCAGCCGCGGUAACAC